CAUGGUAUCUUGAUAGGGUGAACGAGGGACUCUUCUUUGCCGCCUAUAUUAGCCGUUAAUCCCUGUCGCCGCAUGGCUCCGCCGCCCCUGCGACAAAUGGAUUUUGUUCAGGAGAAGCGUGCUUCAGAGGAAGCGACUCUCUCCUCUGCUCACUCCCUUGGACUUUUCCAAGCUCGGAGCUUGCCCGCCACAUGCCCUGCCCUUCCCGAAAUGACCCUUUCCCUUACCUUAUUCUGCAAAUAUUUCCCUCACAAGCCACGCGAAGAAGAGUGACACCUAUGCUCGAGCAGUUCCUACAUAAACUAGGAGAGAUGAAAAGGAAGGAGAAAAAGAGUUGAAGAAGAAUUUAUUGAAGAUUAAGAUGGACUUUCAAGACGACUUUGAAGAGGAUGCUGCAAAUCUUUAUUUAAGCUUCUUGUCUAUGAAAGUGCACAUAAACAAGCACACAUUCUAUAAAUUUUCAGGAGGCGCAAUGUUCUUCUAAUCAAUUUGGAUCUUCUGAAGGUAGGAACUGGAGCUGGAGGAGACAGUAUCUCUCUUGUUGGUACAUGGUGGGACAAAGGAAUUACUUAUUACAGAAGAGGUCUCAGUGUCAUUUUACGGUGACUUAAAAAUUAUAUGCUUUUAAAACAAGUGCAAAAUCGACCAUUUUUGCACAUUGAGAAGCUUUCCAGUAUUUAUCUAUAAGCAUUUCACCCACUAAUAAAGUAGCUUCUGCAAUGUUUGUUAA